rnacentral:rRNA from 1 species
AUUGAACGCUGGCGGCAUGCCUUACACAUGCAAGUCGAACGGCAGCACGGGUGCUUGCACCUGGUGGCGAGUGGCGAACGGGUGAGUAAUAUAUCGGAACGUACCUUAUUGUGGGGGAUAACGCAGCGAAAGCUGUGCUAAUACCGCAUAAUCCCUAAGGGGGAAAGCGGGGGACCGUAAGGCCUCGCGCAAUUAGAGCGGCCGAUGUCUGAUUAGCUUGUUGGUGAGGUAAAAGCUCACCAAGGCGAUGAUCAGUAGCUGGUCUGAGAGGACGAUCAGCCACACCGGGACGGAGACACGGCCCAGACUCCUACGGGAGGCAGCAGUGGGGAAUUUUGGACAAUGGGGGCAACCCUGAUCCAGCAAUGCCGCGUGAGUGAAGAAGGCCUUCGGGUUGUAAAGCUCUUUUGUCAGGGAAGAAACGCACCGAGCUAAUACCUAGGUGUAAUGACGGUACCUGAAGAAUAAGCACCGGCUAACUACGUGCCAGCCGCCGCCGUAA